CCCUUAGAUGUUCUGGGCCGCACGCGCGCUACACUGAUGCAUUCAACGAGUCUAAAACCUGCUCUGAUAGGGGUGGGUAAUCUUUUGAAUGUGCAUCGUGAUUGGGAUAGAUGAUUGCAAUUUUUCAUCUUCAACGAGGAAUGCCUAGUAAACGCAAGUCAUCAGCUUGCAUUGAUUACGUCCCUGCCCUUUGUACGCACCGCCCGUCGCUCCUACCGAUUGAAUGAUCCGAUGAAUAUCAUGGAUUGAGGAUGCAAGUAGGUUAGCCUAUCUUCAUCUUCGAGAAGUGAAGUAAAUCUUAUCAUUUAGAGGAAGGAGAAGUCGUAACA
rnacentral:rRNA from 1 species